rnacentral:rRNA from 1 species
AUGAACGCUGGCGGCGUGCCUAAUACAUGCACGUCGAGCGAACAGACGAGGAGCUUGCUCCUCUGACGUUAGCGGCGGACGGGUGAGUAACACGUGGAUAACCUACCUAUAAGACUGGGAUAACUUCGGGAAACCGGAGCUAAUACCGGAUAAUAUAUUGAACCGCAUGGUUCAAUAGUGAAAGACGGUUUUGCUGUCACUUAUAGAUGGAUCCGCGCCGCAGUAGCUAGUUGGUAAGGUAACGGCUUACCAAGGCGACGAUGCGUAGCCGACCUGAGAGGGUGAUCGGCCACACUGGAACUGAGACACGGUCCAGACUCCUACGGGAGGCAGCAGUAGGGAAUCUUCCGCAAUGGGCGAAAGCCUGACGGAGCAACGCCGCGUGAGUGAUGAAGGUCUUCGGAUCGUAAAACUCUGUUAUUAGGGAAGAACAAAUGUGUAAGUAACUAUGCACGUCUUGACGGUACCUAAUCAGAAAGCCACGGCUAACUACGUG